UACGGGGGGGGCAAGCGUUGUUCGGAAUUACUGGGCGUAAAGGGCGCGUAGGCGGCCUUCUAAGUCGGACGUGAAAUCCCUCGGCUUAACCGAGGAACUGCGUCCGAUACUGAAAGGCUUGAAUCCGGGAGAGGGAUGUGGAAUUCAAGGUGUAGCGGUGAAAUGCGUAGAUAUCUGGAGGAACACCGGUGGCGAAGGCGGCCUCCUGGACCGGUAUUGACGCUGAGGCGCGAAAGCUAGGGGAGCAAACGGG
rnacentral:rRNA from 1 species